rnacentral:rRNA from 1 species
UACGUAGGGUGCAAGCGUUAAUCGGAAUUACUGGGCGUAAAGCGUGCGCAGGCGGUUGUGCAAGACAGAUGUGAAAUCCCCGGGCUUAACCUGGGAAUUGCAUGUGAUACUGUAAGGCUCGAGUUCGGUAGAGGAGGGCGGAAUUCCAGGUGUAGCGGUGAAAUGCGUAGAUAUCUGGAGGGAACACCCGUGGCGAAGGCGGCUCUCUGGUCCGAAACUGGACGCUGAGGUGGCGAAAGCUAGGGUAGCAAACAGGA